rnacentral:piRNA from 1 species
CUUGUCUAGGUAUGACGUUGAUGAGGCUUC